rnacentral:rRNA from 1 species
AUGACCCGGCAAGGGGUUGUGCCUAAUGUGGUGACAUAUAACUCGAUUAUUGAUGCAAUGUGCAAGGCAGGAGCAAUUGACAAGACAGAGCUGGUCCUUCGGCAAAUGGUUGAUAAUGAUGUCCGACCGGAUAAAGUGAUAUAUAAUAGUAUGAUCCAUGGAUAUUCAACUUUGGGCCGGUGGAAAGAGGCAGGUAAAAUGUUCAGAGAAAUGACAGGCCGGGGUCUUAUACCAGAUAUUUUCACUUGGAACUCCUUCAUGGGCUCCCUUUGCAAGCAUGGAAGAAGCAAAGAAGCUGCAGAAAUUUUCUUUUCCAUGGCUGCAAAGGGCCACAAACCUAAUAUUGUCUCCUACAUUACCCUUCUUCGUGUGUAUGCCAAUGAAGGAAGCUUUGCUGAUAUGAUGAGUCAAUUUAAUUCAAUGGAAGGCGACGGUAUUGUACCCAACUGCCAAGUUUCACCAUAU